GGGUUGUGAGGUUAAGCGACUAAGCGUACACGGUGGAUGCCCUGGCAGUCAGAGGCGAUGAAGGACGUGCUAAUCUGCGAUAAGCGUCGGUAAGGUGAUAUGAACCGUUAUAACCGGCGAUUUCCGAAUGGGGAAACCCAGUGUGAUUCGUCACACUAUCAUUAACUGAAUCCAUAGGUUAAUGAGGCGAACCGGGGGAACUGAAACAUCUAAGUACCCCGAGGAAAAGAAAUCAACCGAGAUUCCCCCAGUAGCGGCGAGCGAACGGGGAGCAGCCCAGAGCCUGAAUCAGUGUGUGUGUUAGUGGAAGCGUCUGGAAAGGCGCGCGAUACAGGGUGACAGCCCCGUACACAAAAAUGCACAUACUGUGAGCUCGAUGAGUAGGGCGGGACACGUGGUAUCCUGUCUGAAUAUGGGGGGACCAUCCUCCAAGGCUAAAUACUCCUGACUGACCGAUAGUGAACCAGUACCGUGAGGGAAAGGCGAAAAGAACCCCGGCGAGGGGAGUGAAAAAGAACCUGAAACCGUGUACGUACAAGCAGUGGGAGCACGCUUAGGCGUGUGACUGCGUACCUUUUGUAUAAUGGGUCAGCGACUUAUAUUCUGUAGCAAGGUUAACCGAAUAGGGGAGCCGAAGGGAAACCGAGUCUUAACUGGGCGUUAAGUUGCAGGGUAUAGACCCGAAACCCGGUGAUCUAGCCAUGGGCAGGUUGAAGGUUGGGUAACACUAACUGGAGGACCGAACCGACUAAUGUUGAAAAAUUAGCGGAUGACUUGUGGCUGGGGGUGAAAGGCCAAUCAAACCGGGAGAUAGCUGGUUCUCCCCGAAAGCUAUUUAGGUAGCGCCUCGUGAAUUCAUCUCCGGGGGUAGAGCACUGUUUCGGCAAGGGGGUCAUCCCGACUUACCAACCCGAUGCAAACUGCGAAUACCGGAGAAUGUUAUCACGGGAGACACACGGCGGGUGCUAACGUCCGUCGUGAAGAGGGAAACAACCCAGACCGCCAGCUAAGGUCCCAAAGUCAUGGUUAAGUGGGAAACGAUGUGGGAAGGCCCAGACAGCCAGGAUGUUGGCUUAGAAGCAGCCAUCAUUUAAAGAAAGCGUAAUAGCUCACUGGUCGAGUCGGCCUGCGCGGAAGAUGUAACGGGGCUAAACCAUGCACCGAAGCUGCGGCAGCGACGCUUAUGCGUUGUUGGGUAGGGGAGCGUUCUGUAAGCCUGUGAAGGUGUACUGUGAGGUAUGCUGGAGGUAUCAGAAGUGCGAAUGCUGACAUAAGUAACGAUAAAGCGGGUGAAAAGCCCGCUCGCCGGAAGACCAAGGGU
rnacentral:rRNA from 1 species